rnacentral:rRNA from 1 species
UUGGAGGGCAAGUCUGGUGCCAGCAGCCGCGGUAAUUCCAGCUCCAAUAGCGUAUAUUAAAGUUGUUGCAGUUAAAAAGCUCGUAGUUGAAUUUCGGGAUCAAAUUGUCGGUCGUGCCUCGGUACGCACUGGUAUUAUUGGUUCCUACCUUCUGAAGAACCGCGAUGUCAUUAAUUUGGUGUCGUGGGGAAUCAGGACUGUUACUUUGAAAAAAUUAGAGUGUUUAAAGCAGGCUUACGCUUGAAUACAUUAGCAUGGAAUAAUGAAAUAGGACGUUUGAUUCUAUUUUGUUGGUUUCUAGGAUUGACGUAAUGAUUAAUAGGGAUAGUUGGGGGCAUUAGUAUUCAAUUGUCAGAGGUGAAAUUCUUGGAUUUAUUGAAGACUAACUACUGCGAAAGCAUUUGCCAAGGAUGUUUUCAUUAAUCAAGAACGAAAGUUAGGGGAUCGAAGACGAUCAGAUACCGUCGUAGUCUUAACCAUAAACUAUGCCGACUAGGGAUCGGAUGAUGUUAAUUUUUUAAUGACUCAUUCGGCGCCUUACGGGAAACCAAAGUGUUUGGGUUC